rnacentral:piRNA from 1 species
GAAAAGAGUAGGGUACCCUGAAG